rnacentral:rRNA from 1 species
GACGAACCGUGCGAACGUUGUUCGGAAUCACUGGGCGUAAAGGGUGCGUAGGCGGGCCUUUAAGUCAGGGGUGAAAUCCUGGAGCUCAACUCCAGAACUGCCUUUGAUACUGAAGAUCUUGAGUUCGGGAGAGGUGAGUGGAACUGCGAGUGUAGAGGUGAAAUUCGUAGAUAUUCGCAAGAACACCAGUGGCGAAGGCGGCUCACUGGCCCGAUACUGACGCUGAGGCACGAAAGCGUGGGGAGCAAACAGG